rnacentral:rRNA from 1 species
UUCCGGUUGAUCCUGCCGGAGGCCAUUGCUAUUGGAGUCCGAUUUAGCCAUGCUAGUCGUACGAGUUCACACUCGUGGCGAAUAGCUCAGUAACACGUGGCCAAUCUCCCCUUCAGCGGCGGACACCCUCGGGAAACUGAGGCUAAUCCGCCAUACGCCUCUCACGCUGGAACACAGAGAGGGCAAAAUGCUCUUCGAGCGCUGAAGGAUGAGGCUGCGGCCGAUUAGGUAGACGGUGGGGUAACGGCCCACCGUGCCCAUAAUCGGUACGGGUCGUGAGAGCGAGAACCCGGAGACGGAAUCUGAGACAAGAUUCCGGGCCCUACGGGGCGCAGCAGGCGCGAAACCUUUACACUGCACGCCAGUGCGAUAAGGGGACUCCAAGUGCGAGGGCAUAUCGUCCUCGCUAUCCUGUACUGUAGGGUAGUACAGUAUCAAGAGCUGGGCAAGACCGGUGCCAGCCGCCGCGGU